rnacentral:rRNA from 1 species
UACGGAGGGUGCAAGCGUUAUCCGGAUUCACUGGGUUUAAAGGGUGCGUAGGUGGUUGGGCAAGUCUGAUGUGAAAUCUCCGGGCUUAACCCGGAAAUGGCAUUGGAAACUGCCUGGCUAGAGUGUUGGAGGGGGGACUGGAAUUCUCGGUGUAGCAGUGAAAUGCGUAGAUAUCGAGAGGAACACCAGUGGCGAAGGCGAGUCCCUGGACAACGACUGACACUGAGGCACGAAAGCUAGGGGAGCAAACAGG